rnacentral:rRNA from 1 species
CCUACGGGUGGCAGCAGUGGGGAAUAUUGCACAAUGGGGGAAACCCUGAUGCAGCGACACCGCGUGAAGGAAGAAGUAUCUCGGUAUGUAAACUUCUAUCAGCAGGGAAGAAAAUGACGGUACCUGACUAAGAAGCCCCGGCUAACUACGUGCCAGCAGCCGCGGUAAUACGUAGGGGGCAAGCGUUAUCCGGAUUUACUGGGUGUAAAGGGAGCGUAGACGGAAGAGCAAGUCUGAUGGGAAAGGCUGGGGGUUAACCCCAGGACUGCAUUGGAAACUGGUUUUCUAGAGUGGCGGAGAGGUAAGCGGAAUGCCUAGUGUAGCGGUGAAAUGCGUAGAUAUUAGGAGGAACACCAGUGGCGAAGGCGGCUUACUGGACGGUAACUGACGUUGAGGCUCGAAAGCGUGGGGAGCAAACAGGAUUAGAUACCCGAGUAGUC